rnacentral:ncRNA from 1 species
UUGCGUGUAAAGACCCACCCGAGGCAAUGAUGCCUGCGUAUGUAGGAUGAGGGUAAUAGGGUGGGCAACGCAA